CAAACCAAAAAAAAAAAAGUCACUUGGAAAAGAUGUGCAAGGUUGUGGUUUCCUGAUAAAUUAAGAUGACACAGGCAGUACCACAGGGCUUCCUUCAUUACAUUAUUGUGAAAUCUGGACUCAAAUAGAAUGAGGCAAACCCACAAGUUAAAGUGUUUUUAAAGUGGCUCAAUAAUCACUUUGAAAACAGAACACCCUUUCAGUCAGCAUGACUGGAACUUUGAUCAACAAAUCCCCAAGAGCCACAACCCGUCUUUUGUGAACAAGUAGUAUCAAGGUGGGGGUGGGCUUGGAGUGCACUGGAUGCUUUUCUUCUUUCAUCAUGAAACCUGGUGGUUUUGUGUCAUGUGAUAUGUUUUUCAGAGAUUCGGCAGGAAGCUUGCACCGAGUGAAGGAUUUAUAAAGAUUAUAGGAGAUAACACAAAGCUAUUUUAUCUCUUUAAAAAAAAUCAAAGGUGUAAGCUCAUCCUACACAUGUCAUUUGGACCAGACCAAGGCUGCUGUCAUGGAGGACCCACACCACAGCUUGGGAACCAUUCAUCUACCAGAGGGUCACAUGACUUCAAAUGACUCUUCUAGGGGCCACCUGCCAUGAUAGGGUACCAGCUCUUCCUCUGAAUUCCCAAUCCAUUUCUUGAGAACUACUGUUUCUAAUAAGAGGGGAAGAAGGUCAUGUGGGAAUCAGUUAAAUCACGUGUGGAUAGAAGACAAGUUCCAGCUUUGUGGGAAAUCCUGUAGCCUUCGCCAGGUACACCCUGACAAUCUCAGAACUGAUCAGAGUUUUUGUUCCAUGUGAGAUACCCACGCCACUUUAAAAAACAAACUAUCCUGACAUCUAAUUACUUUGUGAAUGAUUGUAAUGGCAAUAACAAUAGAGAUGGAAGAAUUUUGGAAACAAUACUAGUUUCACAGCUUUCAUGUGAGAUGCCAAGGUUUUAGCAUCGUCAGAUUGGCAAUGAGAUUGGAUAACUUCUGGGGUCUUUUUGAAAUUAUAUCUUUCUUUUCUCUAGGAUCCUACUUCUGGAAAAUAAGAUUAAUACUAAUACUAAUAAGACACAAAGAUUUUUAAUGGAAAUAGGAAUAUCUUCAAAGGCUGGAUGGACAUUGCAUGCACUGUAUGACAACAUUCGUGUAUAAUAAGAUCCUUUCCUUAGAGAAUGGGGCAAAUCCAGAUGGAAUGUGAGAAAGACUUCAAGGUUUCAGUGGAAUAUGCUUAUAUUGGGAAUUGUAUUAGUUAAGACUAGGUUUGGCUGCACAUGACAGAAAACCCAACAUAGUCACUUACACAGGAUUAAAACAUUUCCUUGUCAUAUGAAAGUCUAGAAGUGGUAUGUAGCUCUGGGUGUCAGGGAUGAAGAUUCCUUCUAACUGGGAACCCAGCUUCCCAUUUCAAAGAUUGCUUCAUAUUCAAAAUGGCUGCUGGGUCUCCAGGUAUAGAGUCCACCUUCCAGCUAGAAGAACAAAGAACCAAAAUGAGGCGUGUUCUCCCCUGUAAGGAUACUUUCGUAAGUUGAAUAGGAUGCUUUCAUAAGCAUCUCAUUGGCCAGACUGGUUAGAACUUAGUAACUGGCCACAAUCAGCUGGAAAGAAGGCUGGCAAAUAGAAUAUUUAAGGUGGUCACUGUAAUCAGCAAAAAAAUCAUGAGUUACAUAAUAUAUAGAAAAGGAGAACAAGCACAGAAUGACAACUAGCAGUGUCUGCAUAUCAUUCUUCCAAGCAAAUAAAUGGAAAUAAAAAAAAAAUCUUUACUCCAAGAUUCACUUGGCCUUGGUGGAAUGAAGAAUCAGCAUUAACAUACCUAGUCAAUACACAGGGGUUGGCAUUCUUUUGAUGGAAUGUUGAGUCAAGCUGCAUAGGUAGGGUCAGUAGACACACCUGCAUCUUCAAACAACUAAAAAUCUCAGACACCUGCUGAUCACAGGGAUGUGCAGAGAAAGGCACAGAUUGACCUGAUAAGUUAACCAAAAUCGCUGGACCUCUGUUUUUGUGGAUGCAUAAAUGAUAUCUUUAAAGAAAUCAGAUCUUUAACAACCAACGUAAUAAAAUCUGA
rnacentral:lncRNA from 1 species